UGGUCCCCCCACAUCAGCCCUGUGUAG
rnacentral:piRNA from 1 species